AACUUGCUCAGUGUGACCUGACGCAAACUUUAUUAAUGUUCUUAUUACUAUCUAGCAACAUAUAACAUUAUAUCUGACAACAUUACAAGUUUUGGCAACAUAAGAUUACAUAAAUAUCGAUAACAAUGUGAUUAAGCUCAGGUUAGCCCGCUCGGCCGAGUGGCUGCUGGUCCGGCCACCGAGGAUGCGUUGCCUGUGGAUUGGCUCGAUCAACCGAGUGGCUGCUGGUCCGGCCACCCGGGAUGCGUAUGGGUCUGGAGGAUGUUUUGACUUUUGAUGUGCGGAGAAUUUGGUUUGCUGCCGAUUUGGUAAGUGUUUUGAAUUGUAUUUUGGCUGAAUUUAAUUUUAUUUUAUUUGCAGGUUUAUAUUUUAUAGGUUUGGUGGUAAAUUGUCGGCAUUCAAGUUAAGUAAUUUUUUGUUUUUAUAUUUGUUGGCUUUUAUUGAAUAUAAUUAUUUUAUUUUCAAGUUGAUUCCCUGGGUGUUGUGUUGGGAUGUCUUCUGGUUGCUUGCUUAGUUGCUGACGUUUUAAAUUUUGUUUUAUUUUCUGGUUUGCUGCAGAUUUGGUAAGUGUUCUGAAUUGUAUUUUGGCUGAAUUUAAUUUUAUUUUAUUUGCAGGUUUAUAUUUUGUAGGUUUGGUGGUAAAUUGUCGGCAUUCAAUUGAUUCCCUGGAUGUUGCGUUGGGAUGUCUUCUGGCUGCUUGCUUAGUUGCUGACAUAUGUACAUUUGUUAUGUACUUACAGUUAAUUUCAUACACCAUAUGUGUUUUGUUUAUUUAAAUUUUUAUGUUUAUGUUUUAAAUUUUGUUUUGUUUUCAGGUUUGCUGCAGAUUUGGUAAGCGUUUUGAGUUGUAUUUUGGAUAAAUUUAAUUUUAUUUUAUUUGCAGGUUUUCAUUUUGUAGGUUUGGUGGCAAAUUGUCGGCAUUCCAGUUAAGUGAUUUUUUGUUUUUAUAUUUGUUGGCUUUUAAUGAAUAUAGUUAUUUUAUUUUCAAGUUGAUU